AAACAUGUACUGCAAUACGUCCCCCUUCUGCAAUGACCCUAGGAAAAAGGGCAGGCUUUGCCCCUCCUCUUCCUGUCUGACAGAACAUUCCCCUUCAUCACAUCCUCUUUCUUCCGGAGGUGACUCUCGCCCUUGCCCCAGGGUGGAAAGGGUUCAGGAAACAGAAACCAGCUUAUCGUAAGGAAACAAAGGCCAGGAAUCGUUCAAAAACAUUUUAUCUGUUACAAGGAGGAAAGAAGUCUCUAGGACAGCAAGGAUUUGCCUCAGCAGGGAAAGGUCAGGACCUGGUGGAAGAGACCGCCCUUCACGGAGGGAGCUAGGUGCCCAGGUCGCUGCCCUGGGGGCUCACCCUGCCCUUGUCCACAGGGGUAGGAGGAGCCUGGGUCAAGAAGGACCCAGGUGUGCGAGGUCUGCAUCUGCAGUAUCAGGCACGGGGUCUGGCUCAUUAGAUUCACCGAGAAAGUUAUAGUCAAUGGAGUGUAGGAAUUCUGGCCUUUGCCAGCGACUCACUCUUUGGCAUGGUCAAGCUUUAUUCGCUACUAGAUUUCACAGAGAUUCUGAAAUUAUCAGACCAGGAAUUUAAAAUAACUAUGAAUAAUAUGUCAAGAGGUCUCAUACAGAAGGGAGACAACUUAAGAACAGAUAAGAGCAGAGAGAUGGAAACUCAAAGAAAGAAUCAAAACAAAAUAUUAGAAAUCAAAACCACUGCGGCAGAAAUGAAGAAUGAAGAAUGCCUUUGAUGGGCUCAUCAAUAGACUACACAUGAAAAAAGAAAUCAGUGAACUUGAAGAUAUGUGAAUGGAAACUUCCCAGACUGAAAAACAAAGAGAAGAAAAGAAUCAAAAAGAUGUAACAGGAUAUCCAAAUAUUAUGGGACAAUUACAAAAGGUGUCACAUAUAGUGAUUGCAAUUCCCAAAAAAGGAAAAAACAGAAGAAAGACUUAAACUAAUAAUUGCUGAGAAUUUUCCAAAAUUUAUGAGACACCAAACCACAGAUUCAGGAGCUCACAGAAUACCACACGAGAUAAAUAACAAAAACAUACACACGGGCAUAUUAUAUUCAAACUGCAGAAAAUUUGAGACAGGGAGCAAAUCUUUUUUUAUUAAAAAAUUUUUUUUUGAAUGUUUAUUUAUUUUUGGGAGAGAGAGACAGAGCAUGAGCGGGGGAGGGGCAGAGAGAGAGGGAGACGCAGAAUCGGAACCAGGCUCCAGGCUCUGAGCUGUCAGCACAGAGCCUGACGUGGGGCUCCAACUCACGAACUGCGAGAUCAUGACCUGAACUGAAGUCAGACGCUCAACUGACUGAGCCACCCAGGCGCCCCAACCCCUAAAAAAGUCUUUUUAAGAACUAUAAUUGAUACACUAUGAGAGGAGAGAAAAACUGAAUCAUAUAAAAUGCUCAAUUAAAAUCAGAGAAGGCUGUGAUGCCUGGCUGGCUCAGUCGGUGGAGCAUACUAGACUCUUGAUCUCAGGGUCAUGAGCUAGAGUCUUACAUUGGGUGUAGACACCAAAAAACCAAACCAAAACAAAGAACCAAACCCCACCCCUGCCCCCACAUGAAAAUAAAAAACAAGAGAACAAUGAAUAAAAAACAGUUAUAAAUAUGGCAUAUAUUAAUUCAACUAUAUCAAUAAUCACUUUAGGGGUGCCUGGGUGGCUCAGUUGGUUAAGUGUCUGACUUCAGCUCAGGUCAUGAUCUCAUGGUUCAUGAGUUGGAGCUGUGUGUCAGGCUCUGUACUGAUAGCUUGGAGCCUGAGCCUGCUUUGGAUUCUGUAUCUCCCUCUCUCUCUCUGCCCCUCCCUGCUCACACUCUCUCUCUGUCUCAAAAAUAAAUAAAACAUUAUUAAAAAAAAAAAAAAUCACUUUAAAUGUGAAUGAUCUAAAAAUACCAAUUAAAAGAGAGACUGUCAGCGUGGAUAUAGUAACAAGACCUAGCAAUAUGUUGUCUGUAAGAUUAAAUAUAAAGACAGAUUAAAAGUGAAGAGAUGGAGAAAGAUAUACCAUGUUAAACCCUCCCAAAAGAAAGCGGCAGUAGCUGUAUUAAUUUCAGACAAAUUAUGUCCUGCAAUAUCUUGGAAGGCAGUGCUCAUCCAGUCAGGCUCACAGCUCGAGGAGAAGUGUUUGAGGAAGGUCAGAAUGUUUAUGUAUGUUGACUGCUCUCUCUGUCUUUCGCUAAGUCCUAUGACAGGGAUGAGUCCAGGCAAGAGUUAGGUUUGAAAGCAGAGUGAAAUGGAAUACAUUUCUAAGGAGGGAGGUUUGGUGAAACCUUUCUCAUGUGCUCUUUACCAGUCAACAGGAGCCAGCCAGAUUAAUAAAGUUUGGUUGCUUCCCAACCUAAGCCAGUUGCUUCACAUAGCAUCAGAUUAUCCAUCAUAUUUUGAGUGCGGGUGUGAGCCAUGUGUGUAAAAGAGGAGACUCUUCGGGCUUUCCAGACAUGAUGUGUGGUUGUGGUUACUUGACCAUGGAGUUGAAUGGAAGGAAAUAUACCAGAAAUGUAUUAAGAAUCCACAAGACUGGCCCUCAAGAACUAGUAAUUCUUCAACCCCUAAAGCAAUCCCCAGGGCUCCCACAACUGAACCUACACAAGAGCAUUACCCUUCAAUACCACUUCAGAUGUGGCUAUGAAGCAUGAUUGAUGGAAGAACCUUUCAGAGGCAAAGCUGAAGGCCACAGUGAGCAAUAAAGAAGGAGAUUGUCUAGCAGAGCUCGAGUCUAAUGGAGAAACACACUUAAUUGCCAGUGCAGGGAGCCUUUUGCCUUAGCAAGCAUUACACCAUUGCUGUUCAAUGAUUGCUGUUUCCUUCCCUUUCUUUGUUUUUCCAAAAGAAGAUUCUUAGGAUCCCAUUCCUAAUUCAUCACUCUUUUUGGUGAGUGGAGGUGGGGAGGACAGAUAAUCUGUUUUUCAGAAGAUGCUCACAGGAAACAGUCCCAGAGAGUCCUGAUGGGGGAAUGCAUGUCACAGAGAUCCUAGAUUUUGAACUGAAUGCAGUGGCCAGAUGGAAAUUUGGGUUGUUUCACUUGAACAGGGGACAAGUGUGUUUUAUAUGUAGGAAGAAGGCUGAGUGUGUGUAAUUGGGUUAUCGUGGGUGGGUUGUGGCUGAGACUGUAUGCAUUUUCCCCUCUCCCUCUAGCAAUAGAAUUAUCAAAUUUUAGAUUAGCAUAUGGUCAUUCCGUCAAAGGCUAUAUUUCUCAACCUCCUUAGCAUAGCUGGGUUUGAACAUGUAACUUGCUUCUAGUUAAUGGGAUGUGACAAGAAUUCACAUAUACCAUAUAUUUUUAAGCUAUUAAAAGAAAUAGGCAUGGCUCCCUUAUUCCUUCCUCUCUUGAGGAAGCAAGAGCUGAAGUAGGCAUUGUAGGUUACAAGAGAGCAGCCACGGUGGAAUAACAAAAUAGAAGGGGUGUGACCCUCAGCACCUCAGAGUUGCCGUAUUAGCCCUGGAGUGCUUAUGUUCAAACUGAUAAAGAGAGAAAUGCAUCUCUUUCGUGUUUAUUUGGGUCUUUGUUAGAGCAAAUAAAGCUUAUAGCCUAAUUAAUGCAA